GGUUAUCACUCCAAAAGUUCAUCAUGUUAAUCGGUAUCCAUUUUUUAGUACUACAAAAUACAUUCAUUAUUAAUUAGGGUAAUUGCUUGAAUCAUUAAUGACUUUUCACAUCAGUCUUUAAUAAUUAUCUAAGAUGAUCAACCAUGCCACUAAGAUAAAUAUCUUUUCUUAAUAGCCAUAAUGCUAAUCCACUUCCAUCCUACCAAAGAUUCCCAUUCCCAAAUCCAGUGGAAUCCUAAGCGAGGCAUUUCCUGGACUACUUGGUUCGGGUUGCCAUUGGCUCCUAGUAGUAAAAUCUAGCGAUCCCUCGCUAAUACUAUGAGAGGCAUCGAGACUGCCGUCUCUCCUAGACAUGGUGUGUGCAACCAGCACAACUCAAAACCUAUACGCAAUCAAGCAGUAAUUUCUUAAUUAUUUACGCAUCACAAGAGCGGGUAGGUUUCUAUAUGUAGGUGCAUGCAUUCUAUUCAACCUAACUUGACUUAACUUAACUUAAUUUAACUUAACUUGGGGCCACACUGACACUGUGAAUUUUAAAAUAGUUUUAAAACCAAAAGCUCUGAUACCAACUUAAUUGUCACGACCCGGUACUCCCUUCGAGCUCGUGACAAUUGCAGCGACGUCCCCGAUGGACAUUCAUUGCCUGGAAUGCUAAUCGGAACCUCGCAAGGCUUUAAUAUCAGUUUUCGCACCUCCCCUAUGAGCAACAGUUGUUAAGUAUCAUGUUUUGAGAGAUUAUAAACUAUUUCCAAAUCAAAACAAUAGAAAAAUAUUUUUUUCUCACAGGGGCAUUUUGGUCAUUUUUUCUCAAAAAUAUCGAAACUAGCUAAAAAUAUAGUAUGCGAGUGGGAAACACAUAUUUCAUAAUCAAAAAUAAGUUUAAAUGUCUAAAACCUUCAUUUAAAAUGAAAUUAUGAUUAUUUGGAUAUAGUAAAAAUAUUCAAUAAAAUAUUCUAUUUUCUUAUAAAAAUUUUUUUUUAGAGUUAUACGUAAAUAAUUUUCGCAGCGUAAAAACAAAAUAAAUUCAUACAUACUGUAAUACAGUAAGCCAGAGUAUUUAAUUUAAUUCACAAUAACAAAUGGGCCCCCGAAUAACCAAAAGUAUCAAAAACGUUAAACUUACAGUUUUUGAGGAUGCAAGUCCAACUGUAGCACUCAAUGAAAUGAGCUAUCUAUCGACUAUCCUGAGCCUGAAAGGGUUGGAAAGGAGGAUGGUGAGAUUAUAUAAUUCCAGUGAGUAAACAAAUACCAUCUAAAAUAUUUAAAGUUGAGUAAAUGGAGACAGAUAAAAUAGAUUAGCAUAAAAAUGAUUCUUAGCAUUUCGAACUUAUUUUAAUAAGAUAAAAUAGAUUCAUUUCACCAAAAUAAACAACGAGGCUUAUGAUUUCCUGAAAAGUUUGGCUCGUGCCAAAAUCAUUCUCAUACUCAAUUAUCAGGGAUACCUUGGCCGAGAGCUAUCCCAAUCGAGUCUGCCAAGGCUGUUAAAAAGUUAUGUAUGCAUAAAUCAUGUUUUUAUUUUGAAAACAUAGCCCUUCUUUGGCAUUGGCUGAGUUCACCUUCACGUGGUGGUUUAACGUGAAAUGAACUCUAAAUUGUUAACCUCAGGAGUUAUCCAUCCGCGCCUCUGAUAUUGAGGUAAGAAUAUAAUAGGGUUAUCUUGCCCCUCUAAUAGGCUGGUCCAUGGAACCCGUCUACUGCAGCGACCAAUUUAUAAUCCACAAAUUCAAUAAAAUUCAACAGCAUGACAUGUCAAUUAUUUUAUUUUACAGCCUCUCAAGGCAAAUCAACAGUUCAUGCUUUUUCAGCACAUUUACCAAAUCCAACCAUUCAUGCCAAUGUUAUCAUAAGCCAUUCAAUUUAAACCAUGAUUUAUAACACAACAAUUAGUCUCCAAUUACUCCAUUUUCAAAACCAUCAUUCAAUUUCAAGAUAAUUUUUCAUUUAAUCACAUUUUUGCUUAUAAAACUUAAAAAUUAACCAUUUAAACUCAUUUUUCAUAAAAUCACAAAAAUGAAUUAAAAUUCACUUUAGAUAAUCAAGAUGAUGAUAAGGUUACUCACUGUAUCAGGAGUUUGAAGUACUCCUAUUCUUAAUCCUUUGACACAAUGUCUUUACCCUUGUUAGAGGGCUCACCACCUAUAUACAAUACACGACACAUAAUUCAAUACACUGUGUCAUACCAUUAUAAAUCUAUUUCAGGCUCUUUGCUAAUGCAUGAAAUGGAAUGUAAAUCGUUCAGAUUAUCGUCUAAACACGGUGUUCUACACAAUUCAAUUGUGUACCAAAAUAAAUCGGUAUUGGCCUAAAUCGAUCUAUCACCCGAUUAAUUGGCCAAUAUGUCCAAUUCAACUCCAAUUAAUUCCAUUUUUCUCCCAAUUCUUCAAAUCACCAAACACAAGUCAAAUAACAUAAAAUUUAGCAAAGCUAUCCUUACAUUUCUUCUUGAGAAUUUCGGCCAUGGUGAGUGCAUCAACACUAUGAUUUUUCCUACUUGAUUUUCUCAUCAUAAUUCAUCAUUUCCUAACAAAUUCGCUUGAAAUAAAAUCAAAAUCAUCAUCAAUAUUCCACAUGGAGAAUUCGGCCAAUGAGGGUUAUGGAAGAACAUGAAUUUUUCUUGCUUGAUUUUCAUGCUACAAAUCACCAAUCAACUAAAAACACUAGAAUAUCUUAAAAUCUAACCAAAACAACCAUCAAAAUCUUUCUCUAAGUGUUCGGCCAGCAAGAGACCCAUCAUGAAAUCAUGUGAUUCAACCAUGAAAAAUGCAAAAGAAUGUAUGGGAAAGGUAGAUCACAAGUCAAAAUCAAGAAAUUUUACCUUUGAUUGCUUGAUUACUUGAAAUCCACCAAUUUUCUCCUGAAUUAUCACUCUAGAGUUUUUGUUCUUUCUUUUCU
rnacentral:lncRNA from 1 species